GUCUUUUUGAUUUUAAUUUAAAGUCUGACCUGCCCAAUGAUGAUUUUAAUGGCCGCAGUAUUUUGACUGUGCAAAGGUAGCAUAAUAAUUAGUUUCUUAAUUAGAAACUGGAAUGAAGGGUUGGACGAGAAAAUAACUGUCUUUAUUUUAAGUUUUUGAAUUUUAUUUUUAAGUUAAAAAGCUUAAAUAUUUUUAAAAGACGAGAAGACCCUAUAGAGUUUUAUUUAUUUGUAAAUUAUAUAUUUUUUAGAAUUUAUAUUUUAUAUAUUUAUAAUUAAAUUUAGUUGGGGUGAUUAAAAAAUUUGUUUAACUUUUUUUUUAUAAAACCAUAGAUUUAUGAAUUAUUGAUCCAUUAAUUAUGAUUAUAAGAUUAAAUUACCUUAGGGAUAACAGCGUAAUUUCUUUUUAGAGUUCAAAUCGAUAAAGAAGUUUGCGACCUCGAUGUUGGAUUAAAAAAAAUAUUUGGUGUAGAAGCUAAAUAAUUAGGUCUGUUCGACCUUUAAAAUUUUACA
rnacentral:rRNA from 1 species